rnacentral:rRNA from 1 species
AUUGAGCGCUGGCGGCAUGCCUUACACAUGCAAGUCGAACGGUAACAGGUCUUCGGAUGCUGACGAGUGGCGAACGGGUGAGUAAUACAUCGGAACGUGCCUAGUAGUGGGGGAUAACUACUCGAAAGAGUGGCUAAUACCGCAUGAGAUCUACGGAUGAAAGCAGGGGAUCGCAAGACCUUGUGCUACUAGAGCGGCCGAUGGCAGAUUAGGUAGUUGGUGGGAUAAAAGCUUACCAAGCCGACGAUCUGUAGCUGGUCUGAGAGGACGAUCAGCCACACUGUGACUGAGACACGGCCCAGACUCCUACGGGAGGCAGCAGUGGGGAAUUUUGGACAAUGGGCGAAAGCCUGAUCCAGCAAUGCCGCGUGCAGGAUGAAGGCCUUCGGGUUGUAAACUGCUUUUGUACGGAACGAAAAGCCCCGGGUUAAUACCCUGGGGUCAUGACGGUACCGUAAGAAUAAGCACCGGCUAACUACGUGCCAGCCGCCGCAGUAA